UGGGGUGUCGCCAAGUUGGUAAGGCAAUAGAUUUUGAUUCUAUCAUUCGGAGGUUCAAGUCCUCCCACCCCAUCCA
rnacentral:tRNA from 1 species